AACUGGUUCUCAUAUGAUCAUCAAAGUUAAGCAACAUCGAGCCUAGUCAGUACCUAGAGAGGUAACCACUUGGGAAUACCAGGUGCUGUAAG